rnacentral:lncRNA from 1 species
GGGAAGGGUGUCUCUGCACGUGUUUAGGUCACAGGGCAAGCGGUGGGAGUCAGUUUUUUCCUUCCAUUGUGUAGGUCCCAGGGAACUAACUCGGGUGGUCAGGCUCAGCAGUGGACGCCUUCUGAGCCCCUCCCCCUCUCUUUGGGGGUGGGGGUCUCACUGUGUAAUCCUGUCUGGCCUGACUCACUGUGUAGACCAGCCUGGCCUCUAAUUCUCAGAGAUCCUCCUUCCUCUGCUUCCCCAAGUGCUAGGAUUAAAGGUAUAUGCACACUCUGCCUGGCUUUAAUUCAGCUUUUUAAAAUAAGUUUGCACUAUAAAUGGGCUUUGAAGUUGUCAAUCUCCUGUCUCAGUCUCCCAGGUCAACCAUGCCUGGCUCUAGGCAGCUGGUCAAUUCUAAAUAAGCAGUUCAUUAACUAACUCUCUCUGGACGAAUUUGACCUUCUUUGAUCAAGUAAAGGAGUAAGGCGUUCUUCAGGCUUUGAAGGACCAGAGUCAUUUACUGCGAUUUUAUACUGGAUUUACAGUCCUGGGGAGAUGGUCGAUCUCUUUCAUCUGAACUCAGCCAGAAUAACCACGAGCAACGAGGAAGAGAGGCACUGAUUAGAGAUAACUUCAACACACAGCUUCAGGCCCUCGAGGCUCCCACCAGGCCAUUAGCCAAAUGCUGACCUGGAGCCUCAUAAUUCCUUCCGGUUGGAGUCUACACUGUAUAACCACAGUAAGGCGAGAGAGAGGCCAGCCACGAAAGGGACGUAAGUGGCUUUUCUAUAGGACUCAGGGAACUCAGAGCAACCUGGAGGAAGAAACUGAAAACCCAUUGUCUCAGUAACUCUGAGGAACGAAGCUGUCCCAUAGGAAUGAGGCCCUAGGAAUGGAGGAAUAGAGGACUCAGCUACCACUGUGAGCUCCGCAGAACAGGGCAAAAAGGCAACCACAGUUUUGCCCCCGGGGACUACAGCACUAAAAGAUCCAAUUGGGCUCCAUUUGUUUUUUGAGAUUUGUGCUAGUGUGUGUGUUCCUUUUUGUGUCUCCUGGACCUCUGUAGCUGGCUGGGACUAAAGUUGAAAGGAGCAUUCAGUAGGGCUCUUCUCUGGCAGGGCAGGUCCAGGCCUGUAGAAACUGGUUUAACCUGCUUCCCAGAGUCUCAUUGCCACUUAAGUAAUCUCACGAAGCAGAAGCAGAGGGGCUCUGGGUCAAGAUAUAGCCAAAGAGAUCUGUUUUGCUUGCUUGUUUGUUUUGAGACAGAGUUUCUCUGUGUAACAGCUCUGUUGACUAAGCUGGCCUGGAACUGACAGAGAUGCUCCUGCCUCUGCCUCCCUAGUGUUGGGAAUAAAGGAGUGCACCACCACUGCUUAGCCCCCAUUUUGAUUCUUAAUCUCUCUCCCUCCUGUUUUGAACUCCUGAGCUCAAACAGCUUUCUGCCUUAGGCCUUUAGCACGAUAGCAGGCUAGAGUUAAUUUUUCCUUUCCUUUUUAUUGGAGAUUCAAACCCAAGGCCUUAUGCAUGGUAGGAAAGUUCUCUACCCAGCUCCAUUUCAAAUCCUUAUUUUCAUUAUUUUUAACCAUGUAUAUGUAUGUCUUUGUACUGUGCAUUUGAAUGUGUGGGUUCCUCCAGAGGCCAGAGAUGUGGGACCCCCUGUAGUUGGAGUUACAUGGGUCCUGGGAAUUGAACAGCAGUAUAUAUGCUCUUAACUGCUGAGCCAUCUCUCCAGCCCUACCUCCUCCAGUGCUGUUUUUAGUUUGAAUUCCCUUGAAUUGUCUCUUGAAGAAAAGGUUUCCUGUUUCCUCCACCAAGGUUUGAGGUGGGACUUGAACAGCCACAGAGGGUCAGGCUUGCCUACUGUAGAUUUGGAUAUCCCUCCCUCCCUCCUUCUCUCUCUCUCUUUCUCCCCCUCUCUCCCUCCCUCCUUCUCCCUCC